UACGGAGGGUGCAAGCGUUAUCCGGAUUCACUGGGUUUAAAGGGUACGUAGGCGGUGGAGUAAGUCAGUGGUGAAAGCCAACAGCUCAACUGUUGAACUGCCAUUGAUACUGCUUCACUUGAGUGCAGUUGAGGUGGGUGGAAUUCCAUGUGUAACGGUGAAAUGCUUAGAUAUAUGGAGGAACACCGAUAACGAAGGUAACUCACUAAACUGUAACUGACGCUGAGGUACGAAAGCGUGGGGAGCAAACGGG
rnacentral:rRNA from 1 species